GAUGAACGCUGGCGGCGUGCCUAAUACAUGCAAGUCGAGCGAAUGGAUUAAGAGCUUGCUCUUAUGAAGUUAGCGGCGGACGGGUGAGUAACACGUGGGUAACCUGCCCAUAAGACUGGGAUAACUCCGGGAAACCGGGGAUAAUACCGGAUAACAUUUUGAACCGCAUGGUCCGAAAUUGAAAGGCGGCUUCGGCUGUCACUUAUGGAUGGACCCGCGUCGCACUAGCUAGUUGGUGAGGUAACGGCUCACCAAGGCAACGAUGCGUAGCCGACCUGAGAGGGUAAUCGGCCACACUGGGACUGAGACACGGCCCAGACUCCUACGGGAGGCAGCAGUAGGGAAUCUUCCGCAAUGGACGAAAGUCUGACGGAGCAACGCCGCGUGAGUGAUGAAGGCUUUCGGGUCGUAAAACUCUGUUGUUAGGGAAGGACAAGUGCUAGUUGAAUAAGCUGGCACCUUGACGGUACCUAACCAGAAAGCCACGGCUAACUACGUGCCAGCCGCCGCGGUAA
rnacentral:rRNA from 1 species